rnacentral:tRNA from 1 species
AGCAGGGUGGAGCAGGCAGGUAGCUCGCCGGGCUCAUAACCCGGAGGUCGCUGGUUCAAAUCCAGCCCCUGCAA